UCCCUGGUGGUCCAGUGGUUAAGACUCUGUGCUUCCAAAGCAGGGGGUGUGGGUUUGAUCCCCGCUUGGGGAA
rfam:TPA: Bos taurus chromosome 6, whole genome shotgun sequence.